rnacentral:lncRNA from 1 species
GUGCGUGUCGUUGUUCACUCUUUGUGCGGCGCGGCGCAGGCCGGGGCGGCGGCCCGGCUGCUUUGUCCUCGCCGGGUGGGGACGCAAGGUCCCGGGUGGGUCGAGGUGGAGGGGUUGGGGAUCGUCAGUGCUCUUGUCCCCUCCCCGAGCGUCCCGCACUCACCCUCCGGAACUACUGCGGGCCGUCCGCAGCUAGCUUGGGCCGAUCGGCCUCGGAUAAAGGUCGCAGGUCCCCGAGGCCGCAGAGGCGACAACGCACAGAGCCAGGCUCACGCUCUGUGGCCCGGGGCUGUAGCCUCCUGGGCCACCCUUCUUCAUGUUUGUUAUGGUGUGGCGGAGGCCGCCAGGCUCGCUGGAGCAGGGGGAGGCUGGGUUGAAAGGAGGCCCAGCGGUGUUGGGUUACCGGCGGUGAGUCACAGUCCCCUCCAGCCGCCGAGGCCCUGCAGGCCCCCAGCUCCGGCACGGUCAGGGCAGGGCCCUCCUGGAGCAACCGCGGAGCCUGGAAAGUCCCCGAGAGGGAUGCUUCGGAACCCCGGCUCUCUCAGGGAGAAAGGCGGAGUCAGGAACGAAGGGAGGCUCGAAGGAGGAACCCGGCCCUUCUCCAGGGCUCCGAUCUCCCGGGGAAGAGAUUACGGGACAAUGCUUUCAAUUUCGCGGAAUUUAAGAAGCAGGUAAACGCCUUGAGCCAGGGCGGGUGACAGUUACGGAAGAAGGAGAAGCCUGGAGUCCCACAGGACUUUGAUCUACCCCAAACCUAUUGCCACCUCCUGUGUUACUGGAGCUAACCCUACCAAGCCAGGCCCGGCUCCUGUCAACACAUCAAGUGCACAUCUG